UCGAGGAAGUCGAAAUGGGUAAUAAUAAAAAACAGGAAUCACAACGAGCAACUCAGCAAGAAAGAAGAUCAAAGUUUAGAAUAAUUUUUGAACGUUUUAAAGAUAUAUUAUUGUCUAAUGUUUCGGUGGGAGAAAAAAUUUUUUUGUUGCUUCAGUUGAUUGUUGAACAAUGUAAAGUUGUUUUAAAGGAUAUGUUUACCGAUGGAGAGAUGUUAGGCAAAAUUUUUAAACUUUUUAAUGGAUAGACCUAUUAAAAAUUUUACUAUUAAUAUAUUACAGUGGAAUGCACAAAGCCUCAGACCCAAAUUGGCAAGUUUUGAAACAUUAUUGCAACAAGAAAAAAUACACAUAGCCAUUUUGAGUGAAACAUGGUUAGAGCCUGAAGCCUGUUUGAAGAUCCACGGAUAUAAUAUUUACAGAAGGGAUCGGCCUGAUACCUAUGGAGGAGUUGCCAUCAUAGUUCACAAAUCGAUUUCAGUACAGUCAUAAGGAUUUCAGUUGUUGUGAGGAUGAAAUUCAAGCCGCUUUGGAUGUAACCGUAUCUCUUUUAAAUGAUUUGGGAUUGGAGCUAUCUUCAAGUAAGACAAAACUAUGUGUAUUCAGUAGAGGUCGUAGGCAGCUGGUACCCAAUGUUAAAAUAAAUUCGGUGACAUUAUCUUCCAGCGAGUGUAUAAAAUAUUUGGGACUAUGGUUGGACAAAAAACUACUGUGGAGCAAGCAUAUCAAUGAAGUAAGCGAAAAAUGUUUAAAAUUUUUGAACAUUUUAAAAGUACUAACAGGGUCAUCUUGGGGAGUACAUCCUAAUCAUAUGCGAAAAUUAUAUUUAUCACUUAUUAGAAGCAGACUGGACUAUGGAAGUGGCUUGUUUGGAAAUAGUGCUCAAACACAUUUAAAAAAAUUAGACAAGGUUCAAAAUCAGGCUUUAAGAAUCAUAGGAGGUUUCCUUAAGAGCACGCCCAUACAUGUGAUGGAGAGUGAAUUAAGUAUACCUCCCCUGUAUAUAAGAAGAGUUCAGUUGACAUACAAACAUUGUUUGAAAUUUCAAUCAAUUUCAGAAAACGAAAGUGUAAACCUUCUUGAUAAGUUAAGUACUCUGUGUCAAUUUAAAUACUGGAAGAAAAAAAAGAAA